AUUGAACGCUGGCGGCAUGCUUUACACAUGCAAGUCGAACGGUAACAGCACUUCUGUGGCUGACGAGUGGCGAACGGGUGAGUAAUACAUCGGAACGUGCCUAGUAGUGGGGGAUAACUACUCGUAAGAGUAGCUAAUACCGCAUGAGAUCUAAGGAUGAAAGCAGUGGACCUUCGGGCCUUGCGCUACUAGUGCGGCUGAUGGCGGAUUAGGUAGUUGGUGGGAUAAAAGCUUACCAAGCCGACGAUCUGUAGCUGGUCUGAGAGGACGAGCAGCCACACUGGGACUGAGACACGGCCCAGACUCCUACGGGAGGCAGCAGUGGGGAAUUUUGGACAAUGGGCGCAAGCCUGAUCCAGCAAUGCCGCGUGCAGGAUGAAGGCCUUCGGGUUGUAAAGUGCUUUUGUACGGAACGAAAAGCCCUCUUCUAAUACAGGAGGGUCAUGACGGUACCGUAAGAAUAAGCACCGGCUAACUACGUG
rnacentral:rRNA from 1 species